AGUUCGUUAAAAACGGGCAACGGCGGCGUCUGAUCAUUCAUAACGACAAGAGAGAGAAAUCCAGAAGACAAAUCUUAACAGGAAGCGGAAUUAAAGCAGUGCUCAUCCGUAUGGACUAAAAGUACGCAUGGAUAUCGCCUUCUCUCUUCAGCGCCUUUGUGUUCACUGAUAUCUCUGUAUACUCCGCUAAUAACACAGUGUCGGCAAUACUCAAAGUUGUAACAGAGAGUGCGGUUUUUUCCAUUCUGCGUCCCUUUACCAAUGAACCCAACGCACUUGGAGACGGGUGGCAGUCUAAGCAUGGGAUUACUUCUGUGAUGUGGAUUGUAAUAGCCUUGGAAGAAAAAUUUGAUUUACUUCUCAACAAUGUGAGAGGACCCGCGUCCUGGAUUCUCAUAUUCCUGGAUAUUCUGAAAAUCAUCGGCAACAGCUGAGAGACGCUGUAACAUACUAGCUGUGGAGCUCAGUCUCGCUCUCUCAGGUGUCUGCAUGCGUGUUUUGGGACCAACAUGGGAUUCUUGUUGCCCCUAUAGGUCGGACCCUGUGUGAAGAAGCCGCUACUCAUGUCUAACUUGCUUUCUGAGACCUUUACCAAUGCUUUUGCUAAAGUGCGCCUAUCAUCGGAUAGGGUUUUAAAAAGAUUUAUUCGCCUUUUAAAUUCAAUCAUGAACUUUGCUGUUCGCGUGCUCCAGUUAUUUAUUGUGACGCUUCUGUAUUUUUCAGCUGUCAAGAGUGCCUACAUACCCAGAGAGGGAGGCAGAAGCACAUAUGACGUAGUGCCAUUCAUGGAGGUGUAUAACAAGUCUCUCUGCCGUCCUCGGGAAAUGUUGGUGGAAAUUCAGCAGGAGUACCCUGAUGACACAGAGCAUAUCUUCAUACCGUCCUGUGUGGUUCUCACCCGCUGUGCUGGGUGCUGCAAUGAUGAAAUGAUGGAAUGCACCCCCACCGUCACAUACAACAUUACCUUGGAGAUUAAGAGAUUGAAACCUCUUCGUCAUCAGGGUGACAUUUUCAUGAGUUUUGCUGAACACAGUGAAUGCCAGUGUCGGAUGAAAAAAGAUCUUCCAAAGGAAAUAGAAAAAAAACCCCGGAAGGGCAAAGGCCAAAAGCGAAAGGGAAAGAAAAACCGUGAAAAAAAGCGGGAUUUGUAUGUCACCUCUGCGUUCGCCUCCUCUCACCUGCACCUGAGUGUGGCACUCUUGGUCGUCAAAUUAAUUUGGGAGGAGAUUUUAUGCCUCCUUUAAUCAGCGCAUUUUUUGUCAGAUGUUUUAAUUGCCAUUAAUCCAUCAGUUCCUGCGCCACUUAAUUAAAACUUACCAUCCAAUUGAUCUCCGAUCUCACAGAGCUUGAUUCACUAUUGCUGAAACACAUGCUAAAACCAUUAACAGUAACACUUUUUGCCCACUUUUUGUUUUUUCGGUUGGCACAAACCAAUAGAGUGCAACAGUGACUGUCCAUUUUGUUAGUCUGUAUUAUUUUCCCAUUCAUUUUCCGUUUCUGGUAAGGAGUUCAAUGCGUCUGUUCCAAGAUGAAUCAUAAGGCCUAAAACUCGAAUACGUUCGCAAAAAAGAAGUCUUUUGAAGAAUUAAAUAUUUAUCCCAUGCAGUGUUGUGAAUGAUGUUUUCCAAACAAAGAGGCAAAAGUCGGACAAGUUGGUAAUUACAGAACUUGUAUAAAAAGAUAAAUGCACACAGUACAAUUUGACAAGAUGUUUAUUGCAAAAUAAUAAACUAGUAUGGAAACUCUAAGCAGUGGUUUAUGGGAAUACGCAAUCAGUGGACAAGGAAACAACCUUGUAAAUGUGUAUUGUACCCAUUUUCAAGGUUGGUUCCCAGGUUCUUUCAUCGUAGUACCUUGUUUAAGCAAGUGCAGCACUUCAUGGGAAUUUAGAAAUGAAAAAGGUGAAAGCACCAACUACAAAAGCAUCAUCACUUAACUUCCCUUGAACCCACGGUGUACUGUAGCUCUGUCUGUAUGUCACUAGAGAAAAUUAAUGGGUUUUCUAUUUUUGGAGCCGUACAGUUGCACUCUAUACGUUGUGUCACAGGGCCCAAUAAAUCAAGCUCUAAGAUGGGAGGAGGUGGGCAGUGGGAAUCUAGUCAUCAUUGAGACUCACACAACCCACACAGCAUGGCUUUUAUUUGAUGGUACUAAUCACAGUAUUUGUGUUGGAAUCACAACCUUGUUUGUGCUGGUUUUUCUUUUGGAAUGUCGUUUGUUCUGAUAAUUCUUUUAUUGUGUUGUGAUUCACCAUCAUCCUCACAUUGGUUCUGUUCUCUGACAUAUGAGAGGGUCUGUGUGAGGUUUGAAUUUAUUUUUUCAUUGCUUUGAGUUUGGUCUUGUCAUGCUGAGUGAGUUCUGCCACACAGCAUUACGAAAGUCAAACAGCCUGUUUACUUUGGUGCUUCUCCCAGUAAUUGGGAAAUGAAAUGUGUUUCAAUGAGAAUGAAAAAGCGUACACGAGGACAGUCUGCUCCUGUGGGACUGAUGCUUUUGAGGUCAGUAUUUUUCUGAGGGCUGGAGUUGGGGUUUAUUAAAUUAAGUGCUCGAAAGCACCACCACAACUAUUCACACAAAAUAUUUGACAUUGUUUGAAAUGAUUUAGGUUCCAAAUUUGGGUGUAAAACCACAGUUCAGAGCUUUCACUGAUUUCUACGAAUAUUGGACUUGUGACAUUUCCUCAACAUGAUCUUUCUCUUAAUAUUCCUGCCUUUUCUCCUGUAAAUAAAAUGUGUUAAAACAGUAUUUUGCUUGAUUUUGUUCACAUUUUUUUCUAAAGCCAAAAAAAAAGAAUUGCUCAAAAAACUCUUGUGCAUGUUUUUUUAUUUAAAACAUUCAUACUUGUGGGAUAAAGCCAGGGUUAGAUUUCGAAUUUAGACUGAGCCUAGCGCCUCAGAGCAAUAUUGACUUCAGAUUAGGUCAGUUGGCACAAAUAUGUGUGAAUCUUUCUCAUGAAGUCCAGUAUUUUGUACUGUACAUAUGUCCUGAUGAACCUGAUCCAAUACGACAAGACGCAAUAAACAGAACCUCUGGAUUCUCACGCACUGUGCACUCUUUGGCUUUUAUUCCUAUGUGCUUUUCUAAAAUGAAACCAUUUAUUAUUGUUUUCAUUAUUUUCUUGCAUCAACUGAGCUUGCAGGUGCAUGGCCCCAUCCUGCCUAACUUCAGCUAUUCACACUCUACAACCGUCCCUUUGGACCCUCAGAAGGGGCAAAACCGUGGUUCCAGACCAGGGUGGCUCAAAAAUUAGUCAGUGUGAGCCUUGCUGUUCUACAUGUUCUGAAAGAAGAAGAAGGUUGUUUGUUCAAGACCCAGAGACAUGUCAGUGCUCCUGCAAACACUCUGAAGCCGACUGCAGGUCUAGGCAACUAGAACUCAACGAAAGGACCUGCAGAUGUGACAAACCAAGGAGGUGAACCGAACUGACUUGAGAACGGACAUGAAGGAAUAUUUCACCAAUAAUUCACAGCACUUUGAACUUUUUCAGCUUUGAACUAUGUGUCUCAUUUUUCCACCGUGGAAAUAUCGAGAGAAUGAAGUGAAGUGGUUGGAGAUGGAUGUGGGAGGGUUUAGUAGUCAAUGAAAUGUCUGUUUGUAUAUUUUCAUGAUUUUCAUGUGUGUGCUAAGCAAACCGAGAGACUCGGAGCACAGGAUUUGAUUUGCUGCUAAAAGGUCUUCAGACCUGCGUAAAUGUUUCUGAUCUUGGCUGGUGUGUGUAAAGUCAUACCCGCGUUCACUCAAUGAAACACAUCACUGGAUUUGGGUCUGCUGUGCAGUUUGUUUUUGUGAAUCUAAAUGUAAACAAGUGCAAACAAGUUGUUUGGAAGACUAAUGCGUCAGCGUCCACUACGCGCUGUGGAAUCAUUCCUCCCAGUACAUGAACAAUGAGCACAACGUGUGUGUUUUUAGAGACAGACGAUUGACUGGAGUUUCAACGGAAAGCGAACUGAUUCUGCCAUUGGAAUGUCACAGUGGAAACCCGCUGCCUGCUGUGGUAAAUGUUUGCACCAGAGCUCUGACCUUGACGAGGCAAACCCUACAGAAUUUCGGUCGUAUUCACUCCUUAAAGGGAUAUUCAUUCUUUGACAUGCUUGGAAACCACUUUUGAGUAAAUCCUGUGAUUUAGAUUCCAUGUUUCCACACUACUGGGGAUUUAAGAUGACGAUUUUGUGCUACGCUUUCGUUGUCGUUUCAGCUCGUCUUGGAAUUUUAGUCCAAAUCUAUUCCCCCUCCAAACAAUUCAGUAAUUUAUAAUUUUUUUUUAGAAUAUUUUCAGUGUUUUUUCUCUUUGUAUUUAAUUUGACCUAUUUAUGUGCAGUGUUAUUCUUGCCCCAUUUUGUCUGCAAAACUCCACACUGUUGUUCUGAGAAAAAAAAGCUUUUAUUUUCCGUAGCUGAAAAGAGAAACAUUCCUAUUACUGAUCAGUGAGUUGUGUUGCCAACUGCCUUGACUUUGCUGCCUCUCUGCACAUGUGUGUGUGUGUGUGUGCCGUGUGAGCUCUAACAAACAAACUGUAAAUGUGAUUUGGUGUGGAUACGAGGUUAGUGUUUGUGCGCGUGCACGUGCGAGUAUGUUUUGGCGAAACACUCUUGAUGUCAGUGUGACAUACAUAUUGAAUAACAAUAUAGCAGCCAAAUGUAAAUAUAGGCCAAACCCACGUCACCAUUUACUUCUACUAUAAUAAGAUCUAACAAGCUGAAACAGUAUGCUGAGGUGUGGUCUGAUUCGAUUGGAGUUUUACAGUUUAAACAUUAUUUAUUUACUCUGUGUAUGUAAAUAUGUUGAAUAUUAACUUUUUUCGUGUCUGUAAUGUAGAACAGCAUAUUUAUUUUCAAAUUAUAUUGCUCUUUUUCUAUAAAAUUGUCUGAAAACUCG